rnacentral:siRNA from 1 species
UGCGUUGACGAGGCCACAUUAU